rnacentral:rRNA from 1 species
AGCGAACGCUGGCGGCAGGCCUAACACAUGCAAGUCGAACGAAGUCUUCGGACUUAGUGGCGGACGGGUGAGUAACACGUGGGAACGUGCCUUUAGGUUCGGAAUAACUCAGGGAAGCUUGUGCUAAUACCGAAUGUGCCCUUCGGGGGAAAGAUUUAUCGCCUUUAGAGCGGCCCGCGUCUGAUUAGCUAGUUGGUGAGGUAAAGGCUCACCAAGGCGACGAUCAGUAGCUGGUCUGAGAGGAUGAUCAGCCACAUUGGGACUGAGACACGGCCCAAACUCCUACGGGAGGCAGCAGUGGGGAAUCUUGCGCAAUGGGCGAAAGCCUGGCGCAGCCAUGCCGCGUGAAUGAUGAAGGUCUUAGGAUUGUAAAAUUCUUUCACCGGGGACGAUAAUGACGGUACCCGGAGAAGAAGCCCCGGCUAACUUCGUGCCAGCAGCCGCCGUAACAC